rnacentral:lncRNA from 1 species
UUUGGCAAAAAAACAGCAGUCCAGUUUUCAUUGUGUUGCACUAAAUCCCUAAAUCACACCAACACUGUUGCUACAUAGUCUCUUCAACUAGUUACAGGGAUUGGUUCCACCUGUAAGGACAAGAUGCAAAUAGGUUAGCAUGUACUUGGGCUCAGUUGUCUUUAAAUAUGAUGUUUACAGACCAUAAAGUCUGUAAUUAUGGGAUUGCAGAGAGCAAGAUGCAAUUUGCAGUAGCUUUGGUCUUUAUUAUGUAAAUGUGGCCCCAAUCUCUGUUACUUACCUAAUGUACGAUGCCCUAUUAUGAGCUAUGCUCUGAGAACUGAGGGUGUUACUCACCAUAACUUUCCAGAUUUAUUUUUCCACACAAGGAAAUACAAGGAAUAUCACCUCUGCCUUGUAUGGCCAUUCACAGGGGAGGCAACACACGCUCCUGUGUGCUAAGGAACAUCUCAGGCCAGCGGCAGCUGGAGCUGCAGAGAGAUCAGCAAGCAGGAAUAAUGACAGCAGACUCAAGAAGGAGGAAUGCAAUUCCUUCAAACUAUUUACACGUGUGCAGAGGGGGAAGUAGAAAUUGUCGUUUCAAGAGAGAAGUGCCAAACGAACGUUGCCCUGAGCUGAUCUUCAUCUGGACUUGCAUUUGCACUGGGAGGACUGUUCAUCCAACAGCCAAAAGUGGGUGAUAAGUCAGUGAACUGCACAGACCUCAGUGUUUCUUUUUAUCUGCUGUUCAAUUCCGACAGAGGUUACCUCUGAAAUAUUCACACCCAAUAGGAACAGACAGCUCAGCAUAUUAGUCAUAAGGAUGUUAAGGUAAUUUACCUUCUGCUGCAAAUCUGUGUCGAGCGCAGGUUGGCAGGAAUCUAAAAGCUGCUUUGACCUCUUGGCUGGUGUGUGUCCUGCACUGGCCUCUUCGCCACAAACCCUCCGACGUUACUGCAAUCUUUUUGCUGAGGCAUGCAAGAAGUCUGUUUUUUUCUCAGCAGAAAGGCUUUUUUUGAUCAGACAUUCAUAAAUAACUUCUCUUUGUUCACUCCCCACAGUUUUUCUCACAGUCACUGUUUUGCUGUUUGAAAAAAAAAAAAAACCACAAACCAAAAAACAAACCAUAGAAGGAGGAAAAACUGAAUUACCUUUCAGGAUUGUACAAACUCACACUCCUCUAAUACUGAAGAGGAAUCUGAACCUAGCACGCCUCACCUAAUCAUUAAUUCCCUGCGUUCUGAACUGUAUUUCUAAGCACCUGCCAGGGCACACCUGUGCCACCACCUUGCACUGCAGCAGUGCCCUUUGGAAACAUCUGUGGAGCAAUGAAAAGGUUAGGAAAAGGUAAAUGAUGGCCUUGCUGUUAUGGUUCAAACACGUUCAGCAGCAUUUGCAGCUUUGAACUGUCGAUUUGUGUUUUAAGCUUUCCAUAACAAAGUUUUCUACCGUUUGUGGUGCUGCUACGAAGCGCUAAAGGAAAUGCACAACAGUUUCAACAGGGCACGGCCCAGGACCAGCAUCUCCAGCUGACUAAUGUGAAGAUGCUGAGUGAAAGCCCUCCCUUACACCUUCCGAUGUAGUAGGUCUGCACACACAAAUUCUUGUUACUGUGGUCUUAACCACGCAGAAGGUAGGAGGACUCUUCAAGAACCUGCUUUGCGGUGCUGGACCUGGGAGCAAGUUCAGUAGCUUCCAAAU